AUUGAACGCUGGCGGCAUGCCUUACACAUGCAAGUCGAACGGCAGCACAGGUGCUUGCACCUGGUGGCGAGUGGCGAACGGGUGAGUAAUACAUCGGAACAUGUCCUGUAGUGGGGGAUAGCCCGGCGAAAGCCGGAUUAAUACCGCAUACGAUCUACGGAUGAAAGCGGGGGACCUUCGGGCCUCGCGCUAUAGGGUUGGCCGAUGGCUGAUUAGCUAGUUGGUGGGGUAAAGGCCUACCAAGGCGACGAUCAGCAGCUGGUCUGAGAGGACGACCAGCCACACUGGGACUGAGACACGGCCCAGACUCCUACGGGAGGCAGCAGUGGGGAAUUUUGGACAAAGGGCGAAAGCCUGAUCCAGCAAUGCCGCGUGUGUGAAGAAGGCCUUCGGGUUGUAAAGCACUUUUGUCCGGAAAGAAAUCCUUGGCCCUAAUACGGUCGGGGGAUGACGGUACCGGAAGAAUAAGCACCGGCUAACUACGUG
rnacentral:rRNA from 1 species